rnacentral:rRNA from 1 species
AGGAUAAACGCUGGCGGCGUGCUUUACCAAUGCGAGUCGAACGCGCUUUCCUAGGGGGAAGCGAGUGGCGGCCGGGUGCGUAACACGUGGGUGACCUACCCAGGCGUGGGGGAUACCCGCCCGAAAGGGUGGCUAAUACCGCAUGGGGUCCUGUUGGUUCGAGCAGCAGGAGCAAAGCCUUGUGCCGAGGAGGCAGAGGGUGCGCAUGGAGGGGCCCGCGGCCUAUCAGCCAGGCGGUGGGGUAACGGCCUACCGGGGCGAUGACGGGUAGCCGGUCUGAGAGGACGAACGGCCACACUGGGACUGAAACAUGGUCCAGAGCCCUACGGGGUUUAGCAGUGGAGGAAUCUUGCGCACCGGUGGGAACACCGGCGCAGCAACGGCCGCGGUGGGGAGGAAGGCCGUUCGGUCGUAACCCGUGUUGUCCGGGAAGAAGUACCGUUGGGAGAGCCGUUGAGGAAGACGGUACCGACGAGGAACGCCCGGACUAACUACGUGCCAGCAGCCGC